rnacentral:rRNA from 1 species
AGUGAACGCUGGCGGUAGGCCUAACACAUGCAAGUCGAACGGCAGCACAGUAAGCGCUUGCUCUUACGGGUGGCGAGUGGCGGACGGGUGAGGAAUACAUCGGAAUCUACUUUUUCGUGGGGGAUAACGUAGGGAAACUUACGCUAAUACCGCAUACGACCUACGGGUGACAGCAGGGGAUCUUCGGACCUUGCGCGAUUGAAUGAGCCGAUGUCGGAUUAGCUAGUUGGCGGGGUAAAGGCCCACCAAGGCGACGAUCCGUAGCUGGUCUGAGAGGAUGAUCAGCCACACUGGAACUGAGACACGGUCCAGACUCCUACGGGAGGCAGCAGUGGGGAAUAUUGGACAAUGGGCGCAAGCCUGAUCCAGCCAUACCGCGUGGGUGAAGAAGGCCUUCGGGUUGUAAAGCCCUUUUGUUGGGAAAGAAAAGCAGCAGGUUAAUACCCCGCUGUUCUGACGGUACCCAAAGAAUAAGCACCGGCUAACUUCGUG